AGUCGUAGCAAGUUCGUAGGUGACUGCGAGAUCAUUAAGAGAUGAGGUCUUCAUGGCCGACCGUCCAACCCUCUGUUGUUAUAACUACCUUGUUGCUUUGGCGGGACCGUCUCGGUCUCCGAGCGCACUAACCCUCGGGUUGGUGAGCGCCCGCCAGAGUCCAACCAAACUCUUGUAUUAAACCAGUCGUCUGAGUAUAAAAUUUUAAUUAAAUUAAAA
rnacentral:misc_RNA from 1 species